rnacentral:rRNA from 1 species
GACGAACGCUGGCGGCGUGCUUAACACAUGCAAGUCGAACGGAAAGGCCCUGCUUUUGUGGGGUGCUCGAUUGGCGAACGGGUGAGUAACACGUGAGUAACCUGCCCUUGACUUUGGGAUAACUUCAGGAAACUGGGGCUAAUACCGGAUAGGAGCUCCUGCUGCAUGGUGGGGGUUGGAAAGUUUCGGCGGUUGGGGAUGGACUCGCGGCUUAUCAGCUUGUUGGUGGGGUAGUGGCUUACCAAGGCUUUGACGGGUAGCCGGCCUGAGAGGGUGACCGGCCACAUUGGGACUGAGAUACGGCCCAGACUCCUACGGGAGGCAGGAGUGGGGAAUAUUGCACAAUGGGCGGAAGCCUGAUGCAGCAACGCCGCGUGCGGGAUGACGGCCUUCGGGUUGUAAACAGCUUUCGACUGUGACGAAGCGUGAGUGACGGUAAUGGGUAAAGAAGCACCGGCUAACUACGUG